UCACGCCGACGUUGAUAAGACUCAGGUAACUUACCAAAGGAAGUUUUGGAGAGAUUAGAUCCACCCCAGCAGUAAUUCUCAGCAAAACAAGUGGCUUAACACUCUGUGUUUCACACCAAACUUUUGGACUGUUUGGUUUUGAUAACGUUAGCUCGCUACAAGUCAUAUCAGGGACACACCUGUCUGCUAUCAGCGCUUAGAUAGUGUUUCCCCCAGCAGCAGCAGACUGUCAGUAACACUGUGACAAGUACAGACGACAUUUUUCAUUCUUACACUCGGGAACAGGAUUUGUCAAGGAUGACAUACAACUCACAGCCAGCACAGUUCAGCACAUGGACACAACGUCGAUGUAGACCUCCAAAAACAGUUUCCUCAGGACAUGAAAGAGAGCAGAAGCCUUGAUUUGUUUGCUGCGGUCCUCGGUUUUAAAGCAAACAAGGGUUAGCAACAUUAAAUCAGUGACGCAGUGAAGUGGGAGUGUUGAUUUCUAGAUCUCAUGAUACUCCUGGACAGCCUGAAAUGUCACUGAGCAGCAACAGCUCAUGGAAACGGCAUCAAGCUAUCUGCUUCCUCUUAGUUUUGGUGGUCUGUCUUGCAGAAUGAGUUUGGGUCCCUGGGAGCGCUUCACAGCAGAAUCCCCUGUGUUGCUCUCAGCAGUGACACAGACUUUCAUAUGCAGGCUGUCAUGGAUAUCCUGUGCAAAGAAAUCCAACUCUUCAGCACACACAGCAAUGAGCGCCCUUCUGCACUGCUGGGUUUACAAGGUCUAAGAUGAACAGAAAGGAAGAGGUUGUAGGGAAAAUAAUACCUCCUGCAACUGUUAAGCGGUGUGGUAUAGUCUAUCAUGGGAAUGAUUGUAGCUCAGUGUGGUGAAUUUGAUAUUUGUAAAGAACCAAAGAGGCUACAUGACUCGCUUUUUAGAUAGUGAUAAAUGUAUAUUUUUGUCAUAGGGAUGAUAACAUAGCAAACUAUUAUUAGGUUAUUUUAACUGUUAGCUUCCUCUGAAUCUCACAGUCUUGACUUCCUCGAACUCUUGUAUGACUCUUGAUUCACAUUUCUUGCAUAGCAAUGAAGGUCGUGUCUGUUCAACUUUCUUUUUACAUAAACUUCAGUUAAUCUGUCCUUUCUGUCGUCUUACCCAAACUAACAUUUACCUCCCGUCCUCCCUUUCAUUUCAUCCCCCCUUAGCUCAGUCCAUUUAUCUCAUCUUCUCCCCCCUUCUCUCCUUUCUUUGUUGUUUUGUCUAUCAUCUAUUGACUCCUGUCCUUCUCCACCAUGCUGACCUGCACAACUACCAACCAUUAAUACUUUUUUCUCAACUCAUUUUCACAAACACAGGAACACAUACACAUACAAGGUCCUAUUAAUAUGACAAUGCUCUCAUCACUAAACAGUGCUGCCCACGCAGUGUACCACAUUACUCCUCAGCCUAAUCAUCAUCUCUCCUCUGCUCUCUUGUUCAUUCUCCAGUUAAGUGAAGCAGCAGAUUGAACCCCUCAGCUACUGUCAUCUCCCGCUCGCUUUACUUUCAAUUACCUUCUGUUUUCUGUGUAUCAAAACUAUAUUACCAACAGAUGCUCCAAAAAACUAUGUCAACCGGAGGGAUUUGCGUAACUGGUAAACUGCUGUAUGCUGUUAUGUCAUAGUUCUCUAUUUUUUUGGCGUUCAUCCUUAAUAAAACUGUUUGA